rnacentral:lncRNA from 1 species
ACCCAUCACAGCAGAGGUGUUCAGCAAAAGCUUGAGCCUUACUGUGUCCAUAGUCAGGAAGCAGAGAGUAAACGUUUCUGGCCACUUAGACUGUUUUUUCCUUUUUAUUCAUCCAGAUAGCUAGGAUCUGUCUUCUCACCUCAAUUAAUGUAAUGUAGAAACCCUGCCAGAGAUGCCCAGAGAUGGAACUCCAAGAUUAGACCUUGUCAUGUUGACAAUAUAUGUCACGGUGACAAUAUUAGCUAUCAGGGGGAGUUGAUCUCUUCUUGUAGAUUUUAUCCUGCUUUUCCCAGGGAUGGUUUAUGCAUGUAUUUUUUUAUGCAUCUAUAUACAUGGAUUGCAUGUGCCAGAUAAUAAGUGCUUGAGACAUAAUAUGCACUGUGGUAGCAGUAAUGGCAACAGUAAAAAAUAUUCAGGUAGAUGGUGAUGGUAAAACCGAAAUGAUCACAGGCCUGUACUCUGGGAGUCAAUGGCAAAAUGAAGCAAAACUUUCUGAGAUAAGACUGGAAAUGUGAAUUUUCCACUUCCUGAGUUUGGGAUGAUAGGAAAGAGAGUGAGAUGGGGCUUCCUGAUCAAGAGGAGUAUAUCAUAUGGGCUCAGUUUCAGACAUUUCUGGCUUUGUUAAAUAUCUAAGUAGACACAGUUGGGAGAAAAAUAAUGAAGACACACCUUCAUUUGGGUUAGGGAAGAAGAUGUUCAAACAGAAAGGACAGAUGGAUCCAGCAAGUCAAUGAAGCUGUCUACUAAGAAAAGGAGAGGUGAUUACUUGUUGAUUCCUGACAACCCAGACAGAGGCCAUGUCUGUGGAGUGGCCAGCAGGAAAGCCCGCCUGAAGUGGAAGUGAGACACUAGGAGGCGAGACAAGGCUGACACUGAGCAUAAUCAGCAUUUUUUGAAGGAAUUUAUCAAGACAAGGUAAUAAGAACUGCUAAAGGCAUAGGCAGAGAAGCAGAGGUUCUCUUUUAAGAUGUAAUAAAACCUCCCAGCAGGUUAUCAUGCUGUUUGGAAAGUUUUUAAAGAGAAGAACUAUUGAUGAUACAGGAGACAAGAUAGGAACUGCAAGCUCUCUAUCCUUCUAGGCCAAUGCAAUGGACUCUCUUAAGCAAUAGAGUGGCAGCCUUUGCUAUGAGCAAGCAGAGUUCUCAGGGAAUGGGACACUGAGCUGCUCAGUAAAUAAUAAUCAAUCAGUAUUGACUUUCAGUCUUCCUACUAUAAAACCUCCUAAUAUACUAAGACUAGUUAGGGUUUUCGAAUUUCAUCAUGAUCUUGGAGAUCAAUUAUCCAUUUUGUCACUGAUUCUCCAGAACCCCUCAAAGCACCCAACCUCUUUUAAGACUUGGGUUUGUUUGUGAUUAUGAAAUGGGCCAUUUCCUGGUCAUCACUGUGCCUGGAAAACAAGUGAGUGAUCCAAAUAAACUGUCCUGGGCACUGCAUCUCCUUGAUAUGUACUGCUGCAGAACAUCAUAGAGGGGAAACAUAUGAAAAGGUCAUGUACAUCAAAUGUCUACCUAGCAUUGGACAUGCAGAGACGAAGCCACAUCCAACCUUGUAAACCCUCUGAGGAAAGAUAUCCAGGCACUAUGCCUAAACAUUCUGUGUAAUUAAAUUUCAUUGCUGAGGAGACUUUCAUAUAAAUAAUAUGUUUAGUGUCAUAAUUGCCAUUGUUUCCAUGAGAACUGUACUUGCAAAGGUUGACUGCAUAGUUCUCAUCCUUAGAGACAUAGCUCAAAUGUCACUGCCACUUGGAUAUAUCACUGGGUUCCUCUGGGAAUUCCCUCUCCUUGUUGAUGCCUGAGCUAAAGCACCGAGCAGACUACCUUGUGAUGAUGUUUGCUUUUCUGCCUCCUGUGCAGAUUGUGAGCGCCUUAUCUAUCCUCCUCGGUGACAUGUACAGAGUAGAUAUGAGCUAAAUGUUUGCCAAAUUUAAAUAUAAAUUCCCAAGUUGGGGCUUGUCAAAUAGAAUGGCAUGAUAUACAGGAAAGGAGUGUGUUACUAGGUACUGAGACUAUAAGUGUGUGUGAGGACAAAGCAUGUGUUCCUUACACUUGGCAUUUCUGACUACUUUAUAAUUUCAAGCACUGCUUGGGUCGAUGAAAUGACUUUUUUUUCAUGCAGUUUUAAGAUAAAACAGGAUACAAAGCUGUCCUUGUACAUACUACAUUACACAUAAUUGGUGGCUUCCAUAUUUCCUUGUAAAGGAAACAUGAAAGCACCCAAAAGCUCUGGCCCAAUCCUCAGCUCUAGGAGAAUCUUGACAUCGAUGAGAUCACAGCUUUGAGGCUCUAAUAUAAGAAUGGCUAUAAGUGAGUUGAGCUUCUACUAAGUGGAUUUUGGGGAUUGUACUUCCUGGCAGAGGUGAGUUGUUUCUGACAAUCAGAUUCACUGGGCCUAGCCCUGCUAUUCUUUUUCCCUGCUGUGAGGUCUGGUCUUUGAAUUUUCUCUUAACCUUUUUAACAGACAGUCUUCUUCAGCAUUUUCCAAGAGAAAAGAAAAAGUGCUUCCCUUUCUCUAGCAAUGACAGUUAAACCUUCCAUUUAAUAUGAAAUCAAGUGGAGACAUCUGUGCUUUGUCAUAAAAAAGUAAACAGUUGGAUUUUUCUAAUUAUUAUCUCUGCGUCAGCUGUAGGUUGAGAACACGUUUGCCUUUGUGUCACCUUGAGAAAUCUGUCUUAAUUUCAUAUGAGCAGGCCCAAGAAAGAAUCAUUCUCCAUUAGUUCAUUUAUUUAUUUAUUUAUUUAUUUAUUUAUUUUUAUCUACAUCUGCUCUGAGAAGUUGCUUACAUCUAAUGUUGGACCACCCUUCACACGUUAAAUUGGAAGUUCCCCCACCACCACCACCACCAAAUAAUGAUAAUCUGGAUUCCAUGUAUCUAUUAGAAACCAUAACAAUUCAGCAAUAAAUGGAAAUGUUUUGGACUGUGAGGGGUUUUGAGGGCUUUUCCCAUUAUCAGUUGCUCAUGUAGGUU